GCUGUGGUUCAGUGACAGAGCCUCUGCUUGCUAUGCAGAGAUCCCAGGUUCAAUCCCUGACAUAUCCA
rnacentral:tRNA from 1 species